CAGUCGAGCGAACUGAUUAGAAGCUUGCUUCUAUGACGUUAGCGGCGGACGGGUGAGUAACACGUGGGCAACCUGCCUGUAAGACUGGGAUAACUUCGGGAAACCGAAGCUAAUACCGGAUAGGAUCUUCUCCUUCAUGGGAGAUGAUUGAAAGAUGGUUUCGGCUAUCACUUACAGAUGGGCCCGCGGUGCAUUAGCUAGUUGGUGAGGUAACGGCUCACCAAGGCAACGAUGCAUAGCCGACCUGAGAGGGUGAUCGGCCACACUGGGACUGAGACACGGCCCAGACUCCUACGGGAGGCAGCAGUAGGGAAUCUUCCGCAAUGGACGAAAGUCUGACGGAGCAACGCCGCGUGAGUGAUGAAGGCUUUCGGGUCGUAAAACUCUGUUGUUAGGGAAGAACAAGUACGAGAGUAACUGCUCGUACCUUGACGGUACCUAACCAGAAAGCCACGGCUAACUACGUGCCAGCAGCCGCGGUAAUACGUAGGUGGCAAGCGUUAUCCGGAAUUAUUGGGCGUAAAGCGCGCGCAGGCGGUUUCUUAAGUCUGAUGUGAAAGCCCACGGCUCAACCGUGGAGGGUCAUUGGAAACUGGGGAACUUGAGUGCAGAAGAGAAAAGCGGAAUUCCACGUGUAGCGGUGAAAUGCGUAGAGAUGUGGAGGAACACCAGUGGCGAAGGCGGCUUUUUGGUCUGUAACUGACGCUGAGGCGCGAAA
rnacentral:rRNA from 2 species